AUGGGUCAGCAGCUGGGCAGAGACAAGAUUGGAUCAAACCUAACAGCUGAUGACAUAGCGAGCGCCUUCUACUUCUCUCUCCUGCUCUCCCCUGUUGUCUCCUUCUGGGAUUGCAUCUUCCGCAAGAUAAGAUACUCCUUCAGACCUGAGUGGGUGUAG
rnacentral:rRNA from 1 species